rnacentral:SRP_RNA from 1 species
UGGGAACGUUGUUGGACGAACAAAUUGUGAACCCGGUCAGGUCUGGAAGGAAGCAGCCGCAACAGUCUAUGUUUGGGUCGAUAACGUUCCUUAAG